GAUGAACGCUGGCGGCGUGCUUAAUACAUGCAAGUCGAGCGAACGGACGAGAAGCUUGCUUCUCUGAUGUUAGCGGCGGACGGGUGAGUAACACGUGGAUAACCUACCUAUAAGACUGGGAUAACUUCGGGAAACCGGAGCUAAUACCGGAUAAUAUUUUGAACCGCAUGGUUCAAAAGUGAAAGACGGUCUUGCUGUCACUUAUAGAUGGAUCCGCGCUGCAUUAGCUAGUUGGUAAGGUAACGGCUUACCAAGGCAAAGAUGCAUAGCCGACCUGAGAGGGUGAUGGGACACACUGGAACUGAGAGCCGGUCCAGACUCCUACGGGAGGGAGCAGAAGGGAAUCUUACGCAAUGGGCGAAAGCCUGACGGAGCAACGCCGCGUGAGUGAUGAAGGUCUUCGGAUCGUACAACUCUGUUAGUAGGGAAGAACAUAUGUGUAAGUAACUGUGCACAUCUUGACGGUACCUAAUCAGAAAGCCACGGCUAACUACGUG
rnacentral:rRNA from 1 species